rnacentral:misc_RNA from 1 species
GAUGAAGAACGUAGCAAAAUGCGAUACUUGGUGUGAAUUGCAGAAUCCCGUGAACCAUCGAGUUUUUGAACGCAAGUUGCGCCCGAAGCCUUUUGGCCGAGGGCACGUCUGCCUGGGCGUCACGCAUCGCGUCGCCCCCCACAAUUCUCCGUAAAGGGAACGUGUGUUUUGGGGGCGGAUAUUGGUCUCCCGUGCUCAUGGCGUGGUUGGCCGAAAUAGGAGUCCUUUCGAUGGACGCACGAACUAGUGGUGGUCGUAAAAACCCUCGUCUUUUGUUUCGUGCUGUUGCUCGCAAGGUAAACUCUUUAAAAACCCCAAUGUGUCGUCUCUUGACGACGCUUCGACCGCGACCCCAGGUCAGGCGGGACUACCCGCUGAGUUUAAGCAUAUCAUAAGCGGAGGA